AAGUCGUAACAAGGUUUCCGUAGGUGAACCUGCGGAAGGAUCAUUAGUGAAUUUAGAGCGUAACUUCGGUUAGCUCAGCCUUCAUUUUCCAACUCUGUGCACUAUUGGCGGACUGGGAGCAAGUAAUUGCUAUUCAGUCUGCGGCUCACUAUUAAACAUUAGUUAAAGUAUGUAUAUAAAGACAAAACAAAAAAA
rnacentral:misc_RNA from 1 species